CUUAUUGAAAAUUGUAGUAUUAGAGUGUGUUAAAUUUGAUAUUGCUAAAAAGAUUAGCGAAUAAUACACUUGCAAACAGUUUGUGGUAACUCCAUUGAUGUUUCUCUGUUUCAGCAUUAAUCAAGUCUGAUCUGAGAAGAUACAACAUAAAUAUAGGACUUACAAAUGGUGAAAUUAAAGCUGUGCCAGUUGAUAGUCCCAUGGAUCAAAAACCAAGAGCAGUUAUAUUACCCAAGCAGUCAGAAUCAUCCAUUUGAAGCAGAAGAAGAAGUUGGGAUCCCUGAGAAAUUGGGAUGCAGCACGAUGAUCUUUGGAGAGUAUGGCUAGGCUGACAGGUGGUGGAGAUGGACAUUUACUUGAAAAUUACUGUGUAAACUCUAAAUGAACAGUGGUUAUUUUGUUUAAUUGUUAAUUUGAGCAAUAUUUUGCUUAGAAUAAUUUGCUUAUAUCAUGUAACACUACCAUUUAACUAGUGUCCUGUUUUUACUUGUAUAUUGUGUCUGAAAGUAAGCUUUUUAACACUUACUCAGAAGUGAGAUUUUUUGUUUUGUUUUAUAGAAAAUGGGAGCUUAGAAGACUUUGUAAAUGAUAAUGUAGGGGUCCACUUCCCCUAAGAUAUGCCAUUUAUAUAUAAAAAUAUUCAGUAAGACUAAAUGUACCAAAUACUCCUAAUUGACUACCUGUCCACUGUGCUGACCAGCUGUCGAGGCCACCUCAGCACUAGUGUAGUGUAACAAUGGGAUGCUCCUAACCCAUCAGAGGACAGUGUUGGGAUCAGGCUUUCAGAUGAACUCUAAGAUAGUUCCCCUUUUUUUGUGAUGGGACUGGGGUUGGAACUCAGGGCCUCCAGCUUGCAAAGCACGUGCUGUACGGCUUGAACUAUUACCUCCAGUUCCCCUCUUUCAUUAGCAUUCAGACAAAUGCUAGUGCUGUAUUUUUUCACUCCAACUUGAAAUAGAGUAGCUAUUUCAAGAACUCAUUGUUCUUUUUUACUUUCUACUUUUUUUCAAUAUGUAACUUUCUGCAAGACAAUUUCAUCAUGUGCUGUUGAUUAUUUCAUGAUUUCAUAUAUCAUAUCCUAUAUUUUGCCUUGAAGACUCCUGAGAUAAGGAAAUCUGUGAUAACUUUAGAUGGCCCUGGUGCCCCCUUUAGUGGAAACCUCUUGAAAUACUAACUGCUCUGAUUUUGCAGUAUCAUUUUUAUGACCUUUGUCCUUUGAGGAAUACUAUGUCCAGACACAUGUUCCAUCAAUGUGCUAUGGAAUGGAUUCUCUCCUUCACCACAGAGUAUGUACGUAGUCACCGCUCUGUUAGAACAGUCUGCUCUC
rnacentral:lncRNA from 1 species